rnacentral:lncRNA from 1 species
AAGAACAAACAAAAGAAAGGAUUUAAAAGAUGGUUCUUGGAGUGUAAGGGGGCGAAGGUCGACAGUUUAUGAUUCUAAGCGAAGGGAUUUGGUAGGCGCCCAAAAUUUGAAGGUGGUCGGCCAAAAGUGUUUUCACUGAAGUGAGUAGGGGUUUACGUUUGGUGAGUUAGAGAGAUGCCAUGGGAAAUAAUGGAUAAGAGUCGGUUUUGUAUGAUAUGGAGUAUGUCUUUUAAAGUGAUGAAGACAUGGUGGUGUAUGAGGGUUUUGAAGUUGUUGUUGUGUUAUUUUUAAGAAGAAGAUGAUGAUAAUAGGUUUAUUUGUUUGAUAAAGAGUGGAAGUGUUGUUGUUGUUAAGUUAUGUUUAUGAAGUUGAUUGCUUGUGUUGAUGUUCUUGAUUACUUGUAUUGAUCUUGUUUAAUGAAGAAAGAAGAGUGGAAAGAGAGUGGUUUUGGAAACUUGAUGAAGAGUGUGAUAUGG